rnacentral:rRNA from 1 species
GUACUCGUUAAGGCUGAGCUGUGAUGGGGAGAAGACAUUGUGUCUUCGAGUCGUUGAUUUCACACUGCCGAGAAAAGCCUCUAGAUAGAAAAUAGGUGCCCGUACCGCAAACCGACACAGGUAGUCAAGAUGAGAAUUCUAAGGUGAGCGAGCGAACUCUCGUUAAGGAACUCGGCAAAAUGACCCCGUAACUUCGGGAGAAGGGGUGCUCUUUAGGGUUAACGCCCAGAAGAGCCGCAGUGAAUAGGCC